ensembl:lncRNA
GGUGCUCUGACUUCCAGAGGAAAUGUGUGUUCUUCCCAUAGAGGUGGGGGCACAGCUUCUCAGCCUAUGCCAGCAGCAAUGUCAUACCCCAAAAGAAAGCGAUCCAUGAGAAUGGACUUCAGAAGUAACAGAGGAAGUCCUUGCUUCUAGAGCUGUCACUGAAGGCAGCAUAUGGCUCUCCUGCAGUCGGGGAAGGAUCUCACAGUGUGACCUAGCUAGCCUCCACACCUCUGAUUCCUGUUACCCCUGCACAGAGGUUACCACUUUCAGCUAGGAGGCUCUGUGCAGCGCCCAUUCCCCGGAGUGCUUAUCUGGUAAACAGCAAACCGUGCGAUAGUGCCUUUUCCCUUCUUCAGCUACUAUCAAAACAGUGCAACAACCCCAGUCACAAACUCAAGAGUCUUUUGACAGCAGCAAUUAAGCA